AUUGAACGCUGGCGGCAUGCCUUACACAUGCAAGUCGAACGGUAACAGGUCUUCGGAUGCUGACGAGUGGCGAACGGGUGAGUAAUACAUCGGAACGUGCCUAGUAGUGGGGGAUAACUACUCGAAAGAGUGGCUAAUACCGCAUGAGAUCUACGGAUGAAAGCAGGGGAUCGCAAGACCUUGUGCUACUAGAGCGGCCGAUGGCAGAUUAGGUAGUUGGUGGGAUAAAAGCUUACCAAGCCGACGAUAUGUAGCUGGUCUGAGAGGAAGAUCAGCCACACUGGGACUGAGACGCGGCCCAGACUCCUACGGGAGGCAGCAGUGGGGAAUUUUGGACAAUGGGCGAAAGCCUGAUCCAGCAAUGCCGCGUGCAGGAUGAAGGCCUUCGGGUUGUAAACUGCUUUUGUACGGAACGAAAAGCCCCGGGUUAAUACCCUGGGGUCAUGACGGUACCGUAAGAAUAAGCACCGGCUAACUACGUGCCAGCCGCCGCUGUAA
rnacentral:rRNA from 1 species